CCUACGGGUGACAGCAGUGAGGAAUAUUGGUCAAUGGGCGCGAGCCUGAACCAGCCAAGUCGCGUGAGGGAAGACGGUCCUAUGGAUUGUAAGCCUCUUUUGUCGGGGAGCAAAAGACGCCACGCGUGGCGUUCCGAGAGUACCCGAAGAAAAGGCAUCGGCUAACUCCGUGCCAGCAGCCGCGGUAAUACGGAGGAUGCGAGCGUUAUCCGGAUUUAUUGGGUUUAAAGGGUGCGCAGGCGGAAGAUCAAGUCAGCGGUAAAAUUGAGGGGCUCAACCUCUUCGAGACGUUGAAACUGGUGUUCUUGAGUGAGUGAGAAGUAUGCGGAAUGCGUGGUGUAGCGGUGAAAUGCAUAGAUAUCACGCAGAACUCCGAUUGCGAAGGCAGCAUACCGGCGCUCAACUGACGCUCAUGCACGAAAGUGUGGGUAUCGAACAGGAUUAGAUACCCUGGUAGUC
rnacentral:rRNA from 1 species